rnacentral:rRNA from 1 species
UGGGGAAUAUUGGACAAUGGGCGCAAGCCUGAUCCAGCCAUGCCGCGUGAGUGAUGAAGGCCUUAGGGUUGUAAAGCUCUUUCAGUAGGGACGAUAAUGACGGUACCUACAGAAGAAGCCCCGGCUAACUUCGUGCCAGCAGCCGCGGUAAUACGAAGGGGGCUAGCGUUGUUCGGAUUUACUGGGCGUAAAGCGCACGUAGGCGGAUCGUUAAGUGAGGGGUGAAAUCCCAGGGCUCAACCCUGGAACUGCCUUUCAUACUGGCGAUCUCGAGUCCGGAAGAGGUGAGUGGAACUCCUAGUGUAGAGGUGGAAUUCGUAGAUAUUAGGAAGAACACCAGUGGCGAAGGCGGCUCACUGGUCCGGUACUGACGCUGAGGUGCGAAAGCGUGGGGAGCAAACAGG